rnacentral:rRNA from 1 species
CGAACGAUGAAGGAGGAGCUUGCUCCUCUGGAUUAGUGGCGAACGGGUGAGUAACACGUGAGCAAUGUGCCCUUGACUCUGGAAUAAGCGCUGGAAACGGCGUCUAAUACCGGAUACGACCUUCGGAGGCAUCUCCUGUUGGUGGAAAGAACUUCGGUCAAGGAUCAGCUCACGGCCUAUCAGCUUGUUGGUGAGGUAACGGCUCACCAAGGCGACGACGGGUAGCCGGCCUGAGAGGGUGACCGGCCACACUGGGACUGAGACACGGCCCAGACUCCUACGGGAGGCAGCAGUGGGGAAUAUUGCACAAUGGGCGCAAGCCUGAUGCAGCAACGCCGCGUGAGGGACGACGGCCUUCGGGUUGUAAACCUCUUUUAGCAGGGAAGAAGCGAAAGUGACGGUACCUGCAGAAAAAGCACCGGCUAACUACGUGCCAGCAGCCGCGGUAAUACGUAGGGUGCAAGCGUUGUCCGGAAUUAUUGGGCGUAAAGAGCUCGUAGGCGGUUUGUCGCGUCUGCUGUGAAAUCCCGAGGCUCAACCUCGGGCUUGCAGUGGGUACGGGCAGACUAGAGUGCGGUAGGGGAGAUUGGAAUUCCUGGUGUAGCGGUGGAAUGCGCAGAUAUCAGGAGGAACACCGAUGGCGAAGGCAGAUCUCUGGGCCGUAACUGACGCUGAGGAGCGAAAGCAUGGGGAGCAAACAGGCUUAGAUACCCUGGUAGUCCAUGCCGUAAACGUUGGGAACUAGAUGUGGGGACCAUUCCACGGUCUCCGUGUCGUAGCUAACGCAUUAAGUUCCCCGCCUGGGGAGUAC